CUUGUCUACGAUUGGAGCUAACAGUAGUAUCACCGCAUCAGGUGAUGUAGGGGAUUAACUAAGCUAAUACAGAUAAAGAACUAAGAGCCACACCUGGCUCAGGGUAGACCCCAAACAAACGUCAACCAUCUCGAUCCACAGUAGACAGAUGCUGUGAGAGAUGACAUUUUCCAAGUUAAAAGAAGUUAUGAGUCCCCUGGGAGAAAACUGCUGUUAUGGAAGAAAAGGGAGACCCGUCUGAGCAUAGCCUUAAAAUUCCUGCUUCAAGAAACCCAAUCUCUUCUUUGUCGCCAGCCAAAAAGUGACAGACACGGAUCUGCUAGUCUCCAGGUGUCAGAGGAAACCUGGGCCUGAGCCCAUUUUACAGGAGCAUCUCCACCACAUUGGAUUCUCUGCCUUCUGGAACGCAUAGUAGGUGGCUAAAUGGAGUCGGUCCCAGGAGAGCUCAGCUGCGACUCCAGGUUGUCAGUGGGGCAUCGACAUUAAUACAGGAUGUCGAGGCCGCUACUGAUUGAGAACAGCAGCUUUGAAGUCAGACGACAGGUUCCAGGCCUGACUCUGAUCUCUGACCAUCUACAAGGCCCUAGACAACAGAGUCCCUAGUCUAUGCCUUAGUCUGCUCGCCUGCAGCCAGGCUGCAGCCUGGGCUGCGAUGGCGCUCAGCCGGUGCCCCACCAGGUGGCGCUCUUCCCCGCCUCUGCUCUGUGCCUCCGGGGGACCCCAAACCCCCUUGGGAAGCACCCAGAGGUCGGUUGGCACAUCCGCCUCCCAGGAGGGCACACCUCAGGUCAGACUUGUGCAAAUGCAGCUCUCAGAAGCUGCUGGGCCCCAAGAGUCCUGCCCACGGAGUGAGUGUGCGAUUGUCGCAUAUAAUUCUUCCUGACCUGGCAGGAAUCUCACUUUCACCUCCUCUUCUUCCUGUUGAAAUCCCCUCAAGCUGAGCUGAUGAGUGCAGAUUACUCGCUCCCCAUUUCCCGAGCACGUCCAGGCAGUUCCCUACCUUUGUGCCUCUGCCGAUCUCUGCCAGGUCCUGACUAUGCAGGACUCAAUUCCUGUUCUGGCUCGAAUGCCUUCAAGACAUGCCGCGCCUCUCC
ensembl:lncRNA